GAUGAAGAACGCAGCGAAAUGCGAUACUUGGUGUGAAUUGCAGAAUCCAGUGAACCAUCGAGUCUUUGAACGCAAGUUGCGCCCGAAGCCACUAGGCCGAGGGCACGCCUGCCUGGGCGUCACACGCCGUUGCCCCCCCAUCUACUCCUUCGGGAUUGCGGGGGGGCGGAUGAUGGCCUCCCGUGCGCCUAGCCGCGCGGUUGGCAUAAAUACCAAGUCCUCGGCGACGCACGCCACGACAAUCGGUGGUUGCGAAACCUCGGUUGCCCGUCGUGUGCGUUCGUCGCGCAUCGAGGGCUCGAAAAAAUGCUCGGCUCCGGCUGGGCUUUCAACGCGACCCCAGGUCAGGCGGGGUUACCCGCUGAAUUUAAGCAUAUCAAUAAGCGGAGGA
rnacentral:misc_RNA from 1 species